rnacentral:lncRNA from 1 species
CUUCCGUUCCCCCUGUGCCAUAAAGGCACGGUGACCUCUGGUCUGGCUGCUUUUCAGAGUCCCCAGCUCUAGGAGUGAAGAAUGAGUCCGGCACUUACAGUGUGGGUCCAGCAGGGACCUGGAGGCAGCCUGGACUCUCCUGUUGGAGGUUUGUGGGUCGGGGCAGGCAGAAGCCCUGCCAGAGCUGGGAACAAGGAGGCAGCAUCCCUGGAUAACCUUGGCCUGGUGGGAGACCGUGGCUGACGUAUGACCCUGCCUUGGUUUAUAUGCCUCUGGCCUCUUCCCCUUACACUCUGAAGCAAAGAAACAUACCAGAGGGAAUUGGGAAGGAGAGUGCCUCUCCAGCCUACUUUCUACAUCAAGUGGUAACCUAGGUGACAAGAGAUCCAUACUGCCACCCAAGUGCGGCAUGCUGGAGCAGCCCCUGCCCAUAGGAAGCAGGAUGGAGACCUGGUGGCCAUGGUUCCAGGCCCUUGGAAACAGGGGUGAAGUCCAGGGUUGCUGACGUGGCUCUUCCUGCAGUUGAGACUCUUGUGUCCCUCCUACUUUUCUCCAGAGCAGAGACUGAGCUGUGGACAGGUGAGGGGUUACCUGCCCUCAUGUCUGUCUUCAUUUUGGAGAAAGGGUGCGGGGGGCACAGGAUUUGUGUAUUGCAAAGGCUGUACACUGUCUGACUUGCUCGUGGCAGAGAGGUCUGGACCAACACACCACGGAGGACAGAUUUAUAGGGAGUACCUUCGUGACCUUUCUAGCCAGACCAGAGCUGGAUCCUGUUCCUCCCAGGCUGUGUAGGGGGCUCCAUGUUUUAUAUCAGAAUAAGGCUGGAUGGACAAAUGCUGUAGCAGUAUGAGGCUGCUUGGGUAUCCCUGGGGCAAUGGCAGGCAUGUGGAAGAGUGCACACCGUGCAUAUAUACUUCAGAGAGGGAACAGCACAGGCUUUGAAUAAAGGCACUGGCCAGCAGUCUCCAGACUCUGAGUCUGUCACUCCGAGUCUGUCACUC